AAUUUAAAUCUAGACUAUUUUCACUCUUUUUAAUAAAUAAAAUUUCGUUCUCAUAAAGAAGUAGCGUCGCGCUCACUUGCCAAGAUAUUUUAUUGUCAGGUUUGUUUUGGUUUUCCACGUGUUGCUCCUUGUCUGCUGGACAACACGUGACAAAAAUCUAGGAAUUGUGGGAGUCCAUUCAUCACACCUGUACGCCAGAA
rnacentral:sRNA from 1 species